rnacentral:rRNA from 1 species
GACGGUAACAGCCCGGUAGUUGAAAUGGCUUUCCCUCCAGAGUGGAUCCUGAGUACGGCGGAACACGUGAAAUUCCGUCGGAAUCCGGGAGGACCAUCUCCCAAGGCUAAAUACUCCCUAGUGACCGAUAGUGAACCAGUACCGUGAGGGAAAGGUGAAAAGCACCCCGGAAGGGGAGUGAAACAGUUCCUGAAACCGUGUGCCUACAAGUAGUUAGAGCCCGUUAAUGGGUGAUAGCGUGCCUUUUGUAGAAUGAACCGGCGAGUUACGAUUUGUUGCAAGGUUAAGCGGAAAAAGCGGAGCCGUAGCGAAAGCGAGUCUGAAUAGGGCGCAUAAGUAACAGGUCGUAGACCCGAAACCAGGUGAUCUACCCAUGUCCAGGAUGAAGGUAAGGUAAUACUUACUGGAGGUCCGAACCCACGCACGUUGAAAAGUGCGGGGAUGAGGUGUGGGUAGCGGAGAAAUUCCAAUCGAACUUGGAGAUAGCUGGUUCUCUCCGAAAUAGCUUUAGGGCUAGCCUCGAGGUAAAGAGUCAUGGAGGUAGAGCACUGUUUGGACUAGGGGCCCUUCUCGGGUUACCGAAUUCAGAUAAACUCCGAAUGCCAUGUACUUAUACUCGGGAGUCAGACUGCGAGUGAUAAGAUCCGUAGUCGAAAGGGAAACAGCCCAGACCACCAGUUAAGGUCCCCAAAUAUAUGUUAAGUGGAAAAGGAUGUGGGGUUGCUUAGACAACCAGGAUGUUGGCUUAGAAGCAGCCACCAUUGAAAGAGUGCGUAAUAGCUCACUGGUCGAGUGACCCCGCGCCGAAAAUGUACCGGGGCUAAACAUAUUACCGAAACUGUGGAUGAACCUCUUUAGAGGUUCGUGGUAGGAGAGCGUUCUAAGGGCGGUGAAGUCAGACCGGAAGGACUGGUGGAGCGCUUAGAAGUGAGAAUGCCGGUAUGAGUAGCGAAAGAAGGGUGAGAAUCCCUUCCACCGAAUAUCUAAGGUUUCCUGAGGAAGGCUCGUCCGCUCAGGGUUAGUCGGGACCUAAGCCGAGGCCGAUAGGCGUAGGCGAUGGACAACAGGUAGAGAUUCCUGUACCAGUGCUAAUUGUUUAACCGAUGGGGUGACACAGAAGGAUAGGGAAUCGCACGAAUGGAAAUGUGCGUCCAAGCAGUGAGUGUGAGAAGUAGGCAAAUCCGCUUCUCGCGAAGCAUGAGCUGUGAUGGGGAAGGAAAUUAAGUACGGAAGUUCCUGAUUUCACGCUGUCAAGAAAAGCCUCUAGGAAGAGUAGUACUGCCCGUACCGCAAACCGACACAGGUAGAUGAGGAGAGAAUCCUAAGGUGAGCGAGAGAACUCUCGUUAA